rnacentral:misc_RNA from 1 species
UUCUGAGAGUUAAAAUAACCUUUAAAGAUUAUUAAAGGAGACGGUCUGAGUUGGUAUUAACCUGAUGAUGAAAGCGGCAUUCAUUUCAUUUAGGAAAACAACGGAGAACCGGUGUUUAAUUCUUCUGCUCGCAUUCUGUGUAUGAAAUAUGUGUGUAUUCAAUGCUGUGUGGAUCAAAUGCACUGAUCUGGGUGUAAGUAGCAAGGUUUAUGUUUUAGUCUCCCCUUCUUCUGGUACAACCAAAGCUUGAACUUGGGCCCACGUGAAGUGAUGAGUGACCAACUGGAUUUAAUUGUAUUGUUGCAUUGCCUUGGUGAAGCUCGAUUGAACGCAUUGUAAAAUUGUGUGGUUAGAAAUAAAGGAGUCAAUCUUAUUGUCAGACUAGGUAAAUGACAAAUUGACUUGGCAUCUUCCCCUGUCCCGUUGUAUAUAUAUUUGUCGAAGCCCCAUUAUAAAGUUGAUCUUGUAAGUGUAGAAGGUUUCUGAUUCUAUACUUAACAUUAUUGAACGCA